GACGAACGCUGGCGGCGUGCUUAACACAUGCAAGUCGAACGGAAAGGCCCUGCUUUUGUGGGGUGCUCGAGUGGCGAACGGGUGAGUAACACGUGAGUAACCUGCCCUUGACUUUGGGAUAACUUCAGGAAACUGGGGCUAAUACCGGAUAGGAGCUCCUGCUGCAGGGUGGGGGUUGGAAAGUUUCGGCGGUUGGGGAUGGACUCGCGGCUUAUCAGCUUGUUGGUGGGGUAGUGGCUUACCAAGGCUUUGACGGGUAGCCGGCCUGAGAGGGUGACCGGCCACAUUGGGACUGAGAUACGGCCCAGACGCCUACGGGGGGCAGCAGUGGGGAAUAUUGCACAAUGGGCGGAAGCCUGAUGCAGCAACGCCGCGUGCGGGAUGACGGCCUUCGGGUUGUAAACCGCUUUCGCCUGUGACGAAGCGUGAGUGACGGUAAUGGAUAAAGAAGCACCGGCUAACUACGUG
rnacentral:rRNA from 1 species